AUUGAACGCUGGCGGCAGGCCUAACACAUGCAAGUCGAGCGGUAACACAGGGAGCUUGCUCCUGGGUGACGAGCGGCGGACGGGUGAGUAAUGUCUGGGAAACUGCCUGAUGGAGGGGGAUAACUACUGGAAACGGUAGCUAAUACCGCAUAACGUCGCAAGACCAAAGAGGGGGACCUUCGGGCCUCUUGCCAUCAGAUGUGCCCAGAUGGGAUUAGCUAGUAGGUGGGGUAACGGCUCACCUAGGCGACGAUCCCUAGCUGGUCUGAGAGGAUGACCAGCCACACUGGAACUGAGACACGGUCCAGACUCCUACGGGAGGCAGCAGUGGGGAAUAUUGCACAAUGGGCGCAAGCCUGAUGCAGCCAUGCCGCGUGUAUGAAGAAGGCCUUCGGGUUGUAAAGUACUUUCAGCGGGGAGGAAGGCGUUGAGGUUAAUAACCUCAGCGAUUGACGUUACCCGCAGAAGAAGCACCGGCUAACUCCGUGCCAGCAGCCGCGGUAAUACGGAGGGUGCAAGCGUUAAUCGGAAUUACUGGGCGUAAAGCGCACGCAGGCGGUCUGUCAAGUCGGAUGUGAAAUCCCCGGGCUCAACCUGGGAACUGCAUUCGAAACUGGCAGGCUAGAGUCUUGUAGAGGGGGGUAGAAUUCCAGGUGUAGCGGUGAAAUGCGUAGAGAUCUGGAGGAAUACCGGUGGCGAAGGCGGCCCCCUGGACAAAGACUGACGCUCAGGUGCGAAAGCGUGGGGAGCAAACAGGAUCAGAUACCCUGGUAGUCCACGCCGUAAACGAUGUCGACUUGGAGGUUGUGCCCUUGAGGCGUGGCUUCCGGAGCUAACGCGUUAAGUCGACCGCCUGGGGAGUACGGCCGCAAGGUUAAAACUCAAAUGAAUUGACGGGGGCCCGCACAAGCGGUGGAGCAUGUGGUUUAAUUCGAUGCAACGCGAAGAACCUUACCUACUCUUGACAUCCAGAGAACUUUCCAGAGAUGGAUUGGUGCCUUCGGGAACUCUGAGACAGGUGCUGCAUGGCUGUCGUCAGCUCGUGUUGUGAAAUGUUGGGUUAAGUCCCGCAACGAGCGCAACCCUUAUCCUUUGUUGCCAGCGGUUAGGCCGGGAACUCAAAGGAGACUGCCAGUGAUAAACUGGAGGAAGGUGGGGAUGACGUCAAGUCAUCAUGGCCCUUACGAGUAGGGCUACACACGUGCUACAAUGGCGCAUACAAAGAGAAGCGACCUCGCGAGAGCAAGCGGACCUCAUAAAGUGCGUCGUAGUCCGGAUUGGAGUCUGCAACUCGACUCCAUGAAGUCGGAAUCGCUAGUAAUCGUAGAUCAGAAUGCUACGGUGAAUACGUUCCCGGGCCU
rnacentral:rRNA from 1 species